rnacentral:lncRNA from 1 species
GCUAAGUAAUCCAUUGGCGAAAAGCUACCAAAGCCCCCUUGGCCUUUGAAGAGGAGAGGGCAGAGAAGAAAACAUCCUUCGGUUGAUGGUCGGGAUCGUGGAACUAUUGCUCGAGAAGUAAGAAGCUAAUCCUUGUUUGGACUUUGUUCCUAGGGGUCGAACCCAAAAAGGGGACAGAUUUCUUCCAUCUCACUAUAUUCUUGGCUAAGAAUAUGUUAUCUUUCUUUUUCCGUAAUAGAAAAAUUAUUUACAAGCAUUAACACAAGUGACCAAAUUACAAUGUUGAAACAAACCAACAACAACAAUAAUAAAUUCAGUAUAAUCUCAUAGAUAGAGUCUAGGAAAAUUAUGUGUACGGAGACCUUACCCUUACCUGAAGAGGUGGAGAAACUGUUUUCAACAACAACAACAAUGUUGAAACAAACCGACACAGCAUUAACACAAGUGACCAAAUUACAAGGUUGGAAUUGCACCAUAAUAGCAUUCAGUACCAGCAUUCACUACCCAUCUUUGUCUCAUUUACUACACCUUCUACUUCAUACCACGUGUCUGGGGCGGAGCUAGUAUAUAAGAUACAGACUUAGUCGAAUUCAGUAGCUUUGAUUCAAAUUUCAUACUCCCUUCGAUCCAUAAUAAAUGACCUUUUGACCUUUGGCAUAUCCUUUAAUAAAAUAGUAACUCCUAAAAAAAUAGGUAUUUUGACAAAAUUACCCAUAAUUAAAAUUUGCAUAUUGUUAACUUGAUACAUUGGAAUAUGUAAAUAAGGGUAGAUCUUGAAAAAACAAAGUUAAUUCCUUCUUGUUAUAUAAAAAGUCACUUAAUAAAAAGGUAAAAAAAAUUAUUAAUUAUGGACCGGAGGGAGUACUUAUCUUUAAAAAAUUUAUUUAGUAUGUAUAAAUUAUUAAUUUAAAAUUUAAUAAUUUAAAAUUAUUAAUUUCACACUUAUAAGUUUCAAUUUCUAGCUCCGCCUUUACCACAGGCUACCCCAAAACAAACCAAAACAUAAAUUAAAAUGGACAACAUUCACUAUCCAUCUUUGUCAGCCAACCACCAUAAUUUUUCACAAACACCUACCAAAAUUUUACUGCUACAGAGAAAAAUAGGACAAUGAUUUCAGACUUCAAAAUAUAUGUAUUUGUUUGUGACACAAUGAUUUACAGAUCUUAUACUUAUACUGGGGCUAAUAUGAUAUGAUGCCCACCUGUUACCAGAGGCGGAGUCAGGAUUUCGAGCUUAUGGGUUCGGGAUUCUAAUCGUUAAAAGUUACUGGGUUCUAAAUUAAUCAUUUAUAUAUAUUUAAUGAUUUUUAAGACAAAAUACACGAUUCAAAUCAAAGUUACUGGGUUCAGCCGAACCUGGUCCCAACACUCUACCUCCGCCACUGCCUGUUACUGAAAUUGUUAUUUGAAUGCCAUUUAUAGGAUGUAUUAAUUAUGAGACCAAUUUACAUUUUCUAUUAUUGAAAAGGACAUGUUUAUGAUAUUUUCUAAAUGUUAUGCUAACAUGUUUUCUGACUUGUCCUACAUUAAAAUGGCUGGUAGAUUAAUGUUAAUUUAUUCAUUGAGAUAGCAGUGGACACAGACGAGGACCUUCCUAAGUAGAGUGUACAAGUUGAUAUUUUUGGUGUGCCUCGCAUUGGUCGUGUUGGCUGAGUGGUUAUUAUCUCCCUUUCAUUUAAACUCUUAGAGUUGCUCCAUUAGACCACUUUUAUUACUUCUAAAGUCAUUAUAGGAUUUAUAGCUAAGUCAAAUUAGCUUGUUUGUAUUUUUUAUGUUGGACCUAGUAUUGUAGUGUUACAAAUAGAUGGUGUGACUUGUUUUGUUGGGUACUCACUUUUUAAAUUUUUAAUGUGAUUUUAGCUGAGACAAGAAAUGUUGGAUAGCCCUGGAUAGCAAACAAAAAUACUCAAUUAGUUGUACUUUGUUUAGCUUCAUCCAUUUGAAAAC